CCUACGGGAGACAGCAGUGGGGGAUAUUGGACAAUGGGGGAAACCCUGAUCCAGCGACGCCGCGUGAGUGAAGAAGGAUUUCGGGAUGUAAAGCUCUAUCAGCAGGGAAGAAAGAAAUGACGGGAACAGAGUAAGAAGCAGCGGCUCACGACGUGCCAGCAGCCGCGGUAAUACGUAGGGGGCAAGCGUUAUACGGAAUUACUGGGUGUAAAGGGAGAGUAGCCGGUAAUGCCAGUCUGGAUUGAAAGGCGGGGGCCCAACCCCCGGACUGCGCUUGAAACUGUGUACCUGGAGUGCAGGAGAGGCAGGCGGAAUUCCUAGUGUAGCGGUGAAAUGCGUAGAUAUUAGGCGG
rnacentral:rRNA from 1 species